UGUUCUUCCUCUCUGGACCAAAAAAAGAAGAACCCAAUUCCUCCACGUCGUUUUCUCGAAUAGCUCAAGUGUUGUUGAAUUUCGCCAAGUGAAUAACGGUAGAUCCGUCACUGGUUUCAAUUCUGAGUAGGGAUCGGAGGGCGUGAUGGUGUCAAGAGGAUUGUUAGCAAAUGAUGACCGAUAAGCUAGAGAAAUAUCAACACAUGCUUUAGAAUCUCGUUGUUAAAGCUCAACAGGCUGCAGCAGUAGUUGUUCUGCGCAAGCAGAACUAAGUUAUGGGCCGCUAAUAACAGAUGUGCUGCAUUUCCUCAUCCCGUUGGCACACAACCAACUUAAGGUUGGUGCCUCACUCACAGAUAUAGAACCAGUCCUUUCAGAGUGACUUCCACGUUGGAAAAUUUUGUUUGUAACUCAACUCUGUUACAUAUCAUGUGCACUUAGUCACAUCUUAUUACUGUGUUGUAAAGAGUGAUACUAGUAUAUCCAAUUGCUACCAUCUUUUUCCAUUAUUCACGCUGUGAAUAUUUUUAACCCAUGUUUCCUAUUUUAUAUCUUUUUAGUUGAGCAGUUAGUUAUUGUGGAACUCUUUACCGUCAUAAAUGUCAAUACCUAAAGAGUUUAUGUGUAUUUUUGCUAUUCGUCAAAGUGAAGUGUAAUUAUUGAGGAGUCAAAAAUGGCCCGCCUCUACAUUUUGAUUUAUGACAAAUAGGUCUAAUAACAGAAGGAAACGCAUAUGUUAAU